CCUACGGGAGGCAGCAGUGGGGAAUAUUGGGCAAUGGGCGCAAGCCUGACCCAGCAACGCCGCGUGAAGGAAGAAGGCCCUCGGGUUGUAAACUUCUUUUAUUCGGGACGAAACAAAUGACGGUACCGAAUGAAUAAGCCACGGCUAACUACGUGCCAGCAGCCGCGGUAAUACGUAGGUGGCAAGCGUUAUCCGGAUUUACUGGGUUUAAAGGGUGCGUAGGCGGAAGGUUAAGUCAGCGGUCAAAUGUCGGUGCUCAACACCGGCCUGCCGUUGAAACUGGUCUUCUUGAGUGAGCGAGAAGU
rnacentral:rRNA from 1 species